UGGGGAAUCUUGGACAAUGGGGGCAACCCUGAUCCAGCCAUGCCGCGUGAGUGAAGAAGGCCCUAGGGUCGUAAAACUCUUUCGCCUGUGAUGAUAAUGACAGUAGCAGGUAAGGAAACCCCGGCUAACUCCGGUGCCAGCAGCCGCGGUAAUACGGAGGGGGUUAGCGUUGUUCGGAAUUACUGGGCGUAAAGCGCACGUAGGCGGAUUAGGAAGUUAGAGGUGAAAUCCCGGGGCUCAACCCCGGAACUGCCUUUAAAACUACUUAGUGUAGAGUUCGAGAGAGGUGAGUGGAAUUCCGAGUGUAGAGGUGAAAUUCGUAGAUAUUCGGAGGAACACCAGUGGCGAAGGCGGCUCACUGGCUCGAUACUGACGCUGAGGUGCGAAAGUGUGGGGAGCAAACAGGAUUAGAUACCCUGGUAGUCCACACCGUAAACGAUGAAUGCCAGUCGUCGGGUAGUAUACUAUUCGGUGACACACCUAACGGAUUAAGCAUUCCGCCUGGGGAGUACGGUCGCAAGAUUA
rnacentral:rRNA from 1 species